UAUGUAUUUUUUGCUUCUUCUUUUUUGAUUUUUUUUUGUUUUUUUGUUUUUUGUUUUUUUUUAACCCCAAUACAUAUAUUUUCUUUCACGCGGAUGAUCCCUGAUCGCCGCAUUUGAACCCCGACAACUUCAUAUCACUCUUGUUUGCCAAACAAUGAACCCCGUUCUCCAUUUGAACCCCAGUCGCCUGACGAUAACUCGCGAUCGUCAUUGUGAACCCCAUUCUCC
rnacentral:lncRNA from 1 species